UACGUAGGGUGCGAGCGUUGUCCGGAAUUAUUGGGCGUAAAGAGCUCGUAGGCGGUUUGUCGCGUCUAUCGUGAAAACUAGCAGCUUAACUGUUGGCGUGCGGUGGAUACGGGCAGACUUGAGUUCGGUGAGGGAGACUGGAAUUCCUGGUGUAGCGGUGAAAUGCGCAGAGUAUCAGGAGGAACACCGGUGGCGAAGGCGGGUCUCUGGGCCGAUACGUGACGGCUGAGGCGCGAAAAGCCAGGGGAGCGAACGGG
rnacentral:rRNA from 1 species